GAUGAACGCUGGCGGCGUGCUUAACACAUGCAAGUCGAGCGAGAAGUUUUGAAAAGAUUCUUCGGAUGAAAUUUAAAAUGGAAAGCGGCGGACGGGUGAGUAACGCGUAGGCAACCUGCCCCAUACAAAGGGAUAGCAUUUGGAAACGAAUAUUAAUACCUUAUGAAACUUAACUAGUGCAUGCUAGGUAGGUCAAAGAUUUAUCGGUAUGGGAUGGGCCUGCGUCUGAUUAGCUAGUUGGUGAGGUAACGGCUCACCAAGGCGACGAUCAGUAGCCGACCUGAGAGGGUGAACGGCCACAUUGGAACUGAGACACGGUCCAAACUCCUAUGGGAGGCAGCAGUGGGGAAUAUUGCACAAUGGGGGAAACCCUGAUGCAGCAACGCCGCGUGAACGAUGAAGGCCUUUGGGUCGUAAAGUUCUGUUCUAGGUGAUGAAAACUGACAGUAACUUAGGAGAAAGCCCCGGCUAA
rnacentral:rRNA from 1 species